ACUUAUCCAUUAAUUGCUCAUCAUUCUCUUGAACAUGAAUAAUUAGCUUUACUGAUGUUAAUUAUUGAAUUAAUUUUAACCCAAAAAAAAGUUGAAGGGUUGGGAAACUUUUUUGUCUUUUCAAAAUUUAUUUGUUAAUUAAGUUGUGUUUGGAUUAGAUUAAAAGCAAGAAUUUGAUGUUGGUUUGAAGCUGAUUUGUUUGAUCGUUCAAAUGCAAAAACUAAGAUGUGGGUGUUCUGUUUUUUUUUUUUCUGGUUUUUCUCAAAAAUUGAUUUUUUUGCUGUCAGUUUAGGACGUGCUGGUGAAGUUCAAAUGCAAAUUGAUUUUUUUUGUUGCCGGUGAAGGUCAAAUGCAAAUUAUUUUUUUUGUUGGUGGUGAAGUUCAAAUGCAGAAGUCCUGAUUUUCCUAUGCACUUGACUAAUGACUUCUCCUCACUUUUUCGCGAAAUCUUUUGCAAACCAAUAAUGGCGAAUUGGUACAUACAAGUGGUAUACUUUAAGGCUAAUUUAACAAAACUAGGUAGCAAAUUUCCUUCUUGUACCUUGAAUCAAGUAAUGAAAAUUUAAGUGAUUCAUAAAUCAUAAUAGUAGCUAGGCCUAGGCUAAACCAUCUCCUAUGUUAAAUAACUUCUUUCGUUGGGAGCUAUCUUAUAAUGCAAAAGCAUCUUCCACUAGAAGCACAUGAUGCAUACUUGAAGUGAAAUUGAUUUUCUUUUUUGCCUUUGAUUCUCAAGUAUUUCACUAGUGCUUAGUUUCCUGGAAAAGCAGUAAAUGGUUCUAUUUAAAUGGCUCUUUUAAUUGCACUUGAAGUGAAAUUUGUUUUCAUAGAAAUGAUAGUUUGGUACUUUCAUCUAUUUACCUAUUGGUGUAAAUGGUUCUAGAUAGAGUGUAUUUGAAGCAUAAUCUAGAAUGAGUUUGAAGUUUCUUGAUCUAGCUUGAGGAGUGGGGAAGACAUUUUGUUCUGCUGCUAUAUACUGGUAUCUACGACGAGGACUUGGCGGCAGCUCCUUCACAUGCUGCAGAGGAAAAGAUUGGGGUGCUCCUUUUAAAUCUUGGAGGACCUGAAACUCUUAAUGACGUCCAGCCGUUCUUGUUUAAUCUAUUUGUUAACCCAGAUAUCAUUCGCCUUCCGAUGCUGUUCCAUUUUCUGCAAAGACCUGUGGCUCAAUUGAUCUCUAUGCUUAGAGCCCCUAAAAGCAAAGGAUACGCUUCAAUAGGAGGGGUUCACCUUUGCAAAAGAUAACUGAUGAGCAGGCAAAUGCACUUUUGUCAUUAGAAGCAAAGAACAAGAAUGUAUCUGUCAAUGUUGGCCUGAGAUACUGGUUCCCGUUUACAGGGAAGCAGUUCAGCAGGGAGGCUUUGAAAAAUCUGGGCUACAAUGCAUCUACAGUAUGAAGCAGAGCAAUUGCCUACACCUAGCUGCUGCCCACGAGCUGUCACAGGCCACAAGCUGUUGCUGCCACAGGCCACAAGCUGUUGUUCAGCAAGAGUACUAAAAGAUACAUGAUUUUGUAACUCUCUUUAUUUGUAUUAAAACAUAAUUUACAAUGAAAAAUGAUAAUUUUAUAUGUGUAUAACAAUUUGGAUAAUUUAG